AGAGAGAAACCCUGGCAUCCUUCACCUACGAAAUAAACUGACAGCUGGUUUUGCUUCAUGAAAGAGAUCUCAGCCAAGCUGGUUGAAAAUACCAGGGAAAGAAGUUGAGCAAUACAUUUGGAGAAGCAAUGCAGUGCGAUCAGAUUGUUUGUAAGUGGCAGAGAGUGGGGCUUCAUUUGAAGAUGGGCGGAGUUUUGAUGUGACAGCUGUGGAGAAGAAAAGCUGGAGCACUUCUAGAGAGGACUGGGCUGGCUUUGAG